AUCCCUAAAACCUCAUACUGGGUGACCAAGAUGACGGUUGUUUCUGCUAAUCCAUCUUCUUUCUUUUCUCCAGUUUUUGCUGCAAAAGACAACAAAAAUGGGGAUGAAGGUGUACGAAAUUUCAGAGAUUAACCCUCAAAAAGCCCUAGUUCCAUCUCUCUGACACCAUGGUCACAUCCAAAAUCAAUCUCAAGGUGGUCGACAAAUUACAUCUGCAGCCGAUGCUUUCUGUGUUCCUGAGGUAUGACGCUUCUCUUCAAUGAGCCAUCAGAUGCUAGAAACCCGACAUAACAUGACGCUUGUAUGUUUUUAUUUAGUAUGUCUUGUAAUAUUCAAAUUUAAAAAACGUCUUCUAUGUGAACAAAUUAAGUACGUGUAAUAGUUUACUUUGGUUUUAAAGUGGAGCUGUUAUUGGGUGCUUCUGUUUUGCGGGCGACAACCUCAAGAAGAGGUGAACACAGGAAUAGCGAAGAUGACUCCUUAUCUAAAAUGAAGGAAGUUGAGGAGGCCUUGCUAAAAAUAAGGAAUUGAAGAGUACUAUUUACAAGUCCAGAUACACAAAGUUUUGAAGUCUUCAGACAAGCUGACAAAUUGGUUAUUACAUUAGCAGGACUACUGGACCAAACAUUACAUUUAGGAUGUGUAGUUUUUUUUCUCUCUGAAGGAUUAUGU